GGGUGAGUAACACGUGGGUAAUCUGCCUUAUACAGGGGGAUAACAGUUAGAAAUGACUGCUAAUACCGCAUAAGCGCACGGGGACGCAUGUUUCUGUGUGAAAAACUCCGGUAGUAUAAGAUGAGCCCGCGUCUGAUUAGCUGGUUGGUGGGGUAACGGCCUAUCAAGGCGACGAUCAGUAGCCGGCCUGAGAGGGUGAACGUCCACAUUGGGACUGAGACACGGCCCAAACUCCUACGGGAGGCAGCAGUGGGGAAUAUUGCACAAUGGGGGAAACCCUGAUGCAGCGACGCCGCGUGAGUGAAGAAGUAUUUCGGUAUGUAAAGCUCUAUCAGCAGGGAAGAAAAAAGACGAUACCUGACUAAGAAGCCCCGGCUAACUACGUGCCAGCAGCCGCGGUAAUACGUAGGGGGCAAGCGUUAUCCGGAUUUACUGGGUGUAAAGGGAGCGUAGACGGCGCGGCAAGUCUGAAGUGAAAGGCAGGGGCUUAACCCCUGAACUGCUUUGGAAACUGCCAUGCUAGAGUGCUGGAGAGGUAAGUGGAAUUCCUAGUGUAGCGGUGAAAUGCGUAGAUAUUAGGAGGAACACCAGUGGCGAAGGCGGCUUACUGGACAGUAACUGACGUUGAGGCUCGAAAGCGUGGGGAGCAAACAGGAUUAGAUACCCUGGUAGUCCACGCCGUAA
rnacentral:rRNA from 1 species